GGCGGAACGGGUGAGUAACGCGUGGGUAACCCUGCCUCAUACAGGGGGAUAACAGUUAGAAAUGACUGCUAACACCGUCUAUAAUAUAGCGAAACCGCAUGAUUUUUGCUAUCAAAUAUUUAUAGGUAUGAGAUGGGCCCGCGUCUGAUUAGCUAGUUGGUGGGGUAAAAGCCUACCAAGGCGACGAUCAGUAGCCGGCUUGAGAGAGUGACCGGCCACAUUGGGACUGAGUACACGGCCCAAACUCCUACGGGAGGCAGCAGUGGGGAAUAUUGGACAAUGGGGGAAACCCUGAUCCAGCGAACCGCCGCGUGAGUGAAGAAGUAUUUCGGUAUGUAAAGCUCUAUCAGCAAGGGAAGAUAAUGACAGUACCUGACUAAGAAGCCCCGGCUAACUACGUGCCAGCAGCCGC
rnacentral:rRNA from 1 species